UAUAUCUUGGCAUAAAUUAAUCUGAUUCUGUUUCAGGUUAUUUAUGGAAUAUAAUAAAUUGCAAGUAUUAAUCUGAUUUUGUUUCAGAUUAUUUAUGGAAUAUAGUAUCUUGCAAGUUUUUUAAUCUGAUUCUAUUUAAGAUUAUUUAAUUAUGGAAAAGAGUAGCACACAAGUCUCUCUACACCUAUAAAUACCCCUGUAGGUUGUAGGGUUUUGGAUCAUCUAAACCCAACCUACAUUCUCUCUCAAUAUCAGAGUUAGAGGUGUGCAUUCGGUU
rnacentral:lncRNA from 1 species